GAAAUGCGAUAAGUAAUGUGAAUUGCAGAAUUCAGUGAAUCAUCGAAUCUUUGAACGCACAUUGCGCCCCCUGGUAUUCCGGGGGGCAUGCCUGUUCGAGCGUCAUUUCACCACUCAAGCCUCGCUUGGUAUUGGGCAACGCGGUCCGCCGCGUGCCUCAAAUCGACCGGCUGGGUCUUCUGUCCCCUAAGCGUUGUGGAAACUAUUCGCUAAAGGGUGUUCGGGAGGCUACGCCGUAAAACAACCCCAUUUCUAAGGUUGACCUCGGAUCAGGUAGGGAUACGCGCUGAAGUUAAGC
rnacentral:misc_RNA from 1 species